AUAAGUUCACUUAACUCUUCUCUAACGUAAAUGGUGAUUUUCCUCUGAGGCAACUGAUUUUAUACCAAGUCGUUUCUCUGUCUGUUGCAGGCUUGUACAAGUGAGACAGAGCAUACGAGGGGGCGUGUGCAAUUGGAGCAUGCUGUACUUAACUCCCCAGAGGUUUACCACCAGCACAACGCAGACAUUUGAUUCAUUUUCUCACCUCACAACUCGGUUUCCGGUCUCAUAAGCAGUUGUGCUCUCGUGAGGGAAACAUACCUGAGCUGAGACAAGCAUAGCCGAGGAGCUAGCUAAGCUGAGACGAUACCUGAGCUGAGACAACCACAGUCGAGGAGCUACCUGAGCUGAGAGAAGCAUAGCCGAGGAGAUAGCAAAGCUGAGACAACCACAGUCGAGGAGCUACCUGAGCUGAGAGAAGCAUAGCCGAGGAGAUAGCUGUCAUUUUGUCAAAUCAACCCAUGUCAUCUCACUUUACCGACAUUAAUGGUUUCUUGGUUGCAAUCCAUAAAUCAUUCCAAAACUGCAUUCUCUACACAAAUUGACGAAAUUAUACUGAUAAGAUGAAUGAACCACCGAAGAGCCUGAUUAUCAUUUGGAAAUUCCUAAUU